CACAAAGAAAUAAGGCCCAAUCCCAUGUCCCACCCUACAAGUGUAAGAGGCUGCAAGGGCAAGCCAUCAAGAAAUGGUUGAUGAUAUAAACCAGAAUCUACGGCCAGUAUGAACAGAUCAGGACCAGGAACAGAAUGUGCCAUGAAGUCAAUAAUCAUCUGGUCUGGGUACAGACAAUCUUCUUCAAAGAAGUCAGGGAUUUGAGUCUUGUCAUGGACCUUUGUAGCAUGGCAGCCCCCGAAACCAAACUAUUGAAAAAAGAGAGAAGAAAUAAGCGUCACUUACG